rnacentral:misc_RNA from 1 species
CUGGAACGCGCUUCGGCGCACCCAGAAACCCUUUGUGAACUUAUACCUAUACUGUUGCCUCGGCGCUGGCCGGCCUCCUCCUCGAGGCCCCCUGGAGACAGGGAGCAGCCCGCCGGCGGCCAAACAAACUCUUGUUUCUUAGUGAAUCUCUGAGUAAAAAACAUAAAUGAAUCA